rnacentral:rRNA from 1 species
UACGUAGGGUGCGAGCGUUGUCCGGAAUUAUUGGGCGUAAAGAGCUCGUAGGCGGUGUGUCGCGUCGGCCGUGAAAACCUGCAGCUUAACUGUGGGCUUGCGGUCGAUACGGGCAUCACUGGAGUUCGGCAGGGGAGACUGGAAUUCCUGGUGUAGCGGUGAAAUGCGCAGAUAUCAGGAGGAACACCGGUGGCGAAGGCGGAUCUCUGGGCCAUAACUGACGCUGAGGAGCGAAAGCAUGGGGAGCGAACAGG